rnacentral:rRNA from 1 species
CAGUCGAGGGGCAGCAUGGUCUUAGCUUGCUAAGGCUGAUGGCGACCGGCGCACGGGUGAGUAACACGUAUCCAACCUGCCGUCUACUCUUGGCCAGCCUUCUGAAAGGAAGAUUAAUCCAGGAUGGGAUCAUGAGUUCACAUGUCCGCAUGAUUAAAGGUAUUUUCCGGUAGACGAUGGGGAUGCGUUCCAUUAGAUAGUAGGCGGGGUAACGGCCCACCUAGUCAACGAUGGAUAGGGGUUCUGAGAGGAAGGUCCCCCACAUUGGAACUGAGACACGGUCCAAACUCCUACGGGAGGCAGCAGUGAGGAAUAUUGGUCAAUGGGCGAUGGCCUGAACCAGCCAAGUAGCGUGAAGGAUGACUGCCCUAUGGGUUGUAAACUUCUUUUAUAAAGGAAUAAAGUCGGGUAUGCAUACCCGUUUGCAUGUACUUUAUGAAUAAGGAUCGGCUAACUCCGUGCCAGCAGCCGCGGUAAUACGGAGGAUCCGAGCGUUAUCCGGAUUUAUUGGGUUUAAAGGGAGCGUAGAUGGAUGUUUAAGUCAGUUGUGAAAGUUUGCGGCUCAACCGUAAAAUUGCAGUUGAUACUGGAUGUCUUGAGUGCAGUUGAGGCAGGCGGAAUUCGUGGUGUAGCGGUGAAAUGCUUAG